rnacentral:tRNA from 1 species
UAGCCUAGUGCUCAAGGCUAUGGAUUGCCAAUCCGGAGACGGCGGGUUCGAUUCCCGU